AGUAGUUCGUGCAGCGGGAAGCAGAGAUGGGCGCUAAAGUUACUGCGCACCAUUUUGUUUUCGUACUCUUUAAAGAUCGCCUUUUGGAUCAAGUGUUGUGCGUGAAUGCAUAAAAAACCACAACCUCAACCACAACCUCAACCACAACUACACAGAAACCUGCCAGCACAGAGUGGUGACAAUAAAUGGGUUAUUCCGUGAACCAUCUUUGUUCAGUCUCUAAUCGGACAGUCUUUGGUGGCUCAGCACCCUGAGCCGGCAUAUCAUUCUAUGGCAAAUAUCGCUCCUUGCUUUUGCAAGGUAAGUGAAGACAUAUAAAAAUUUGAGCCUAACCAAUACAUGAUUAUCAUUUGGUUGAUUAUUUCUAAUAUGUGCCACUGCUCCACAAAUACACUCUUUGAAGUUGGAGUUACUUCCAUUCCCUGAUAGCAUACAUAAAGAUUCAGACGUAAACCAAGGCUUUUCAGGUUAUGUAAAAUCAUCUAUUGGUGAUCCAUUUAUUUUGUGUUUUAUUGCUGCAGUGCACUGUUUUCUGCCAACUGACAACCCCGGGUUGUAUAUCAACUAUAAAUUUAUGUUUAAUGUGGCAUAUAGUACAGUGAGUUUUUUUUUUUUUUCUAAAUGUCCAACAGCAGUCCAUGUUUCUGCUGCUCUGUUGUGACUCUUGUUUUCACUUUAUUCUCAGAAGCUUGACCCAAAUAUCCAAGUUUCUGAUUUGUAAAAUGUUGGACACUGUUUAAUAAAGAAA